CCUACGGGGUGCAGCAGUAGGGAAUCUUCCACAAUGGGCGAAAGCCUGAUGGAGCAACGCCGCGUGGGUGAAGAAGGUCUUCGGAUCGUAAAACCCUGUUGUUAGAGAAGAAAGUGCGUGAGAGUAACUGUUCACGUUUCGACGGUAUCUAACCAGAAAGCCACGGCUAACUACGUGCCAGCAGCCGCGGUAAUACGUAGGUGGCAAGCGUUAUCCGGAUUUAUUGGGCGUAAAGGGAACGCAGGCGGUCUUUUAAGUCUGAUGGGAAAGCCUUCGGCUUAACCGGAGUAGUGCAUUGGAAACUGGGAGACUUGAGUGCAGAAGAGGAGAGUGGAACUCCAUGUGUAGCGGUGAAAUGCGUAGAUAUAUGGAAGAACACCAGUGGCGAAAGCGGCUCUCUGGUCUGUAACUGACGCUGAGGUUCGAAAGCGUGGGUAGCAAACAGGAUUAGAUACCCGAGUAGUC
rnacentral:rRNA from 1 species